CUUGACAUCCACAGAAGAAUCCAGAGAUGGAUUUGUGCCUUCGGGAACUGUGAGACAGGUGCUGCAUGGCUGUCGUCAGCUCGUGUUGUGAAAUGUUGGGUUAAGUCCCGCAACGAGCGCAACCCUUAUCCUUUGUUGCCAGCGGUCCGGCCGGGAACUCAAAGGAGACUGCCAGUGAUAAACUGGAGGAAGGUGGGGAUGACGUCAAGUCAUCAUGGCCCUUACGACCAGGGCUACACACGUGCUACAAUGGCGCAUACAAAGAGAAGCGACCUCGCGAGAGCAAGCGGACCUCAUAAAGUGCGUCGUAGUCCGGAUUGGAGUCUGCAACUCGACUCCAUGAAGUCGGAAUCGCUAGUAAUCGUGGAUCAGAAUGCCACGGUGAAUACGUUCCCGGGCCUUGUACACACCGCCCGUCACACCAUGGGAGUGGGUUGCAAAAGAAGUAGGUAGCUUAACCUUCGGGAGGGCGCUUACCACUUUGUGAUUCAUGACUGGGGUGAAGUCGUAACAAGGUAACCGUAGGGGAACCUGCGGUUGGAUCACCUCCUUA
rnacentral:rRNA from 1 species